AGGCCAUUGUUGUUUAGCCAAGGAUGACUUGCCGGCAGCUUUGUAUAUAGCAUAAUUUUUCAUCUAUGGAGAUUAUGCUUAUUAUAGGGACCUUAUAUACAUAGUUUUAAUUACUUUUUUUUUCGCUACUUUAUAUAUUUAAUAAGAAAAGGUAAUUUCUUGUGUAUAUGUGUUUGGUGGUGGGAUGGACAAAGCAAGCCCGGCAAGUCAUCUCUGGCUAUGCAACUGCCUCU
rnacentral:pre_miRNA from 1 species